GUCACCGCCCGACGGCCCCGCCCCGCGCCCCAAGUUUUGGGAGGGUUCCGCUCUCCCCACCCGGUACCAGGACCCACCCGGGCCCGCGCUCCCUGCGGCUUCCAGGGACCCUCCAGCCCCCACGCACCCUCCUGCAAAGCCGAGGGUUAAGCUGGGGAAAGGGGGCCUCUAGGAAGGCGACCCCCCUGGAAAUGCCUGGCAGCUCCAAAAACACUAAUGAAACUCAGCUCCAGCCUCCGCCCCUCCAGUUGUGGGUGGCCCCUCUUGCGGUUCGUCUGAGGCUAGGGGACUAGGCGCAUCGCCUAGCGAGACUCCAGUGGCCUUUUCUGUCCAGUUUGUAACCGGAACUAGACCGACCCCGGCCGCCCCCUCCAGUGCUGGGGCGGGUGAGGAAUGGCCCCGCCGGGGAGGCGGGGGAGGGAGGCCUGGGCCACCCUGGGGUCUGACCUUUGCUCCACCUCUUAGGUGCUCACGACCCAGAGUGGUGCCCUGCUUGGUACUGCCACUGGAUCCUCUGGCUUAUGAAGCCGUCCAGGACAGGAAGGGUGGGGGGUGGUCCUUAGUUCUCUUCGUGGGGUCAUGCAGAGUGGUUUCCUCGAGGUCCCACGCCCGUCUCAGGAAGCCAGAAACGCAAGAUGCCGGGCGCUCGGCCCGAACCCGUGCCGCGGCCCAAGGGGCAAGGCGGAUACCGAGGCAAGGCCUAAAGGGCCGGACUCUGACCGCACCCUCCGGACACUGCAGGGCUCCGCCGGCCAGAGGCGGCCUUGGCGCCAACCACACCUAGCAGCGGGGUCCCCGGGCCCACCGAUGCGCCCUCCUAGCCCCGCGCUCCUUCGAGGGGUUCCAAGGUGACUCAGAGACGCAGCUGACACAAUUCUGAGGCCCCCAGGUAAGCCUGGCGAUACCGGAUGGAGAAGUUACCUGGUCUUGAAAGGCCCAGUCCAGCCAGCGAGACCCGCGUGCGCUCCGCGGGGAGGCAAGCCUAACCAGGGGCUCACCUGGAAGCGUCCCCGCCCCCUGGUCCUUAUCUCUGAAUCGAAACCGAACCUGGACCCAUCUAGAUAAUUGGACUGAGCAAUUAAGGACGCUUCGCUCCUAACUGUUAGCAUUUUUUCCUAAGGCUCUCGGAGGCGGAAUCAGCUGGAAAGGAACAUUGCUAAGUAGGAAUUUCAGGCACCUGUGAACUGAGCCCACUCAAUAAUCGGCCCUUUCCCUUAACCAAACUCAGCAAAGGAAGAAAGACCAAGUUGCUGCGGAUGCACAGAGCCACGUGGGUGCGGGUCCUCUAGAAACAGGAAUUCAGAGUCAGUAGAUAUGGAAAUGUUAUGGUUUGCAGUCUUCGGACCAUGCUGCUUUCAUGCUGUUCACAUGAUUCUCCUCGGACUGCGAGGAUGGAAUUACUUCAGUAUAUUUAAAUGCAAAUAAGGAGGAUCCCACAGAGAAGAGGAAGAUGAAGAUGUACUGUUCCAUCUGGAAGUCAAGAUUGGUGCCACCUAAGUGAGUUCCUGCUGCAAGGAACUUAAGGACAUCCUCCUCCUUCAUUUGCAGGACAUCAAGGGCUCCGGACAUUGUGAAAGUUUCCCUUUAAGUUACGAUGGGAAUCCAGAACAACGCCGUAUGGACCCCUCUGCAGGUAGCGUGGAAAGGACUUUUUUUUUUUUUUAAUAAGUAGAGAGUAUACUUAAAAGAUAAAAAGCACAGUAUAGUAAGUACAUAAACCAGUAACACACUUAUUAUCAAGUAUUAUGUAUUGCACAUAAUUGUGUUAUAUUUUUAUAUGACUGGCAGUGCAGUAGUUUAUUUAUACCAGCAUCACCACAAACACAUAAAUAAUGUGCUAUGACACUAGUGAUGGGAAUUUUUCAGCUCCAUUAUAAUCUUAUGGGACCAUUGUCACACAUGUCAUCUGUCAUUGACUGAAACAUCGUUACGCGGAGCAUGACUGUAGAUAUUCUCAUACACUGCUUGUGAAAGUAUACAUUGGUUGGGCUACUUUAGAGGGCUAUUUGCCAAUAUUUAUAUGCAUUCUGAGUUUGAGAGAUUCUGAGAACUAUGCUGGAGCCACUUCAUACCAGCUAACAGAGCUGAUUGUGCAUUCAUGUCUCAUUAGUAGUUUGAAAUCGGCCAUGGUGGAAGAAUUCACACCAUGGAAAUUGGCAAAUGCUACAAAUCAGCCCCACUUCCUCUUUUUGGAAGACUGGUUGUUAAACAUUUAUUAGUACUCUAAAGUCUAUUUGACAGUGUCUACAAUAAAAAAAAGAAAGAAAGAAAGAAAAAGCACAUAACCCAUGAUACAGUAUUCCUGUUUUCUAAGAUAUAUUUGUACAUGUAAACAGGGAUGCAUGUUCAAGGAUGUUCACAGCAGCAUUAUUUGCAAUGGAAAAUUGAAGACAACCUAAAAACCCACUCAUUGAUAGUGUAAACCAAAAAGCAUCUGAGACAGGUCUCAAUUGAUUAAGACGUUUACUUUGCCAAGGUUAAGGACCGUGGCCCAUGCUGCAGCCUCAGGAGGUCCUGAGAACAUGUGCCCAAGAUGGUGGGAUUGCGGCUUGGUUUUAGGGAGACAGAAGUUAUGGGCAAAGACAUAAAUCAAUACAUGGAAGGUAUACAUUGGUUUUGGCCUGGAAUAGGGGGACAUCUCAAAGUGGGAGUUGGGGGCUGUUUCUAGGUCACAGGUGGAUUGAGAGAUUUCCUGACUGGCAGUUGGUUCAAAGAGUUAAGCUCUGAGUGAAGAGUUGAAGUCAGCUUGAGUUAUGGUAAGGGGGGAAUGUUUUGGAAGCCAAGGUUUUUGUCAUGUAGGUGAAACCUCCAAAGAACAAGCUUCAGAGAUAAUAGAUGUGACAGUCUCUUAUCUGACCUAAAAGGUGUCAAACUCUGUGGAAAAACCUAGUAGAGGAAGGAGAUUCUCUAAAAAAAUGCAAAUUUCCCCCACAAGGGACAGCUUUGCAGGGCCAUUCAAAGUAUGUCGAAGAAAUAUAUUUUGGGGUAAAAUAUUCUGAUCUCCUUCCGGGCCUGCUGUCUGUCAUGAGAUGUUACAUCAGAGUCAGGUUGGAAUUUGAUCUUAUUGCUACAAAGAGUCUGUUUUGUCGGUCUUAAAAUCUCUGUUUUAAUGUUAAUGCUGGUCAGUUGGGUCUAAACUCCAAAAAGAGAAGGGUAUAUAAUGAGACCUUCCCCCUCUCUUCCUGUCAUGGCCUGAACUUCUAACCACCCCUCUUCCUGUCAUGGCCUGAACUUUUUCAGGUUUUUUUUGGGAUCCCCUUGGCUGAGGGGGUACAUUCAGUUGGUUGGGGAGAUUAGAAUUUUGUUUUUGGUUUAUAAUAGGAAACUCAAAAACAAAAACCUCCAGCCUAUUCUAAAUGGAACACUAUGCAGCAGUUAAAAUUAAUAAACUAAAUUUAUAUAAACUGUUGGGAGAAAAAACUUCUCUACCAAUUUAGGUCCAAUUGGUCGGUGGCCUGUGAAUCAACUGACAAUACACAGAUUAACAGGAGAAAAACGUACUACAUAUGCGAAGGUACCCUAAAGAGAGUAGCUCCCAGAAUAGCUGGGGGGGAAAAAAUCACACAGCCAUAAAAGAGAAUAAAAUCGUAUCCUUUGCAGCGACAUGGAUGCAGCUGGAGGCCAUUAUCCUAAGCAAAUUAAUGCAAGAACAGAAAACCAAAUACCACAUGUUACAAGUGGGAGCUAAACUGUGGAUUCUUAUAGACAUAAAGACGGCAAUAAUAGCUACUAGGGACUACUGGGGUUGAAAGACUAACUACUGGGUACUAUGUUCACUACCCGGGUGACAGAAUCAUUCAUAUGCCAAAUGUCAGCAUCACACAAUAUACCUAAAGUAUCAAACAUGCACAUGGACCCCUAAAUCUAUGAACACAAUUAAUGGCUAAACUUCUAGGUGCAAAACUAGGGAUGGCAUUUGGGCUGUAAAGAAUGGCACAGGCUGUGGUUACCCCAGUAACCACUUUCUUCCAGGACUCACUCAAGGCAAUAGGGACUUGCUUGGUCUUGCCCCUUCUGUUAUGGUUCCAGGGGUGGUUGCCCAAAGGUGAUGCAAGUUGAUUCUCCCAGGGAUGGGUCCCCAGUGAGAGCUCUCAAGCUAUUCAGGGACCUUCAGAGCCAAAUUCCCCUAGCAUUUUGUUCAACUCUUCCCCAUGUGUACAGGGACAAGGAAGGGUUUUGCAUUAUCCUUUCCCAUUUGUUGAAAUUACAUCUAUAAGAACUGAUGAAGAGAAGGGUCAGUUUUUUCCACCUGUCUCAGGGAACUGGGUGGGCCUGAUAACUCUCCCACUACAUGCUCCUGGCCCCAGAUUAUCUGGUUACUUAUUUUUAAACUUCCUGAUAUUAGGGGAAAAGAUUUUUCCCUAAAUUCCCUAUAAGUGAUAUUUGAAGCGGUGGUACGCCACCCAGCAAAUGGCUGUAUCCAGUUUUAAUGGUUCAUAAAGUAACUUAUGAAGUGACUUGUUUUCUUUCAAUUCAAAGGAAGUCUGGGGAAAGGCACCAUUCAUUCAUUCAAGAUGGGGUCUCAAUAUGUUGCCCAGGAUGGUCUUGAACUCCUGGGCUCAAGGAUCCUCCUGCCUCAGCCUCCUGAGUAGCUAGGAUUACAAAUGUGGCAGUUUGAAAGGCACUUUCUUGGUCUAUGUGGUCCGCCUGUACCCAGAUGAUUUGGAGCCUCACCUUUAGUCCCACCCUGGCCAGCCAAACCAGGGUCAGCCUGGGGCUCCAGGAAAAAAUGAAAUGUUACAUGGCCUUACUUGCCUUUUUCUGCUAUUCAUAGGCUGAUAUUGGUUGAUAGUAAAUAUAAACCCACUGGGCAAGUUCAUUUUUGCACAGAGUGACAACCGUCACUGAACUCUGUUUUAAGGGAGGGAUUUUGGUGGGUUUUUUUUUUUGAGACAAGGUCACCCAGGCUGGAGUGCAGUGGCAUGAUCUCGGCUCACUGCAGCCUUGACCUCCUGGGCUCGAUUGAUCUUCCCACCUCAGCUCCCCAAGUAGCUGGGACUACAGGCGUGCACCAUCACGCCUCGCUAAUUUUUUGUAGAGACAGGAUUUUGCCAUGUUGUCCAGACUGGUCUUGAACUCCUGAGCUCAAACAAUUCACCCACUUCAGCCUCCCAAAGUGCUGGAAUUACAGGCAUGGGAGGGAUUUUUUUUUUCUUUAAAUUGAGAUGAGGUCUCACCAUCAUGCCCAGGAUGGUCUUGAACUCCUGGGCUCAAGUAAUCCUCCCAUCUCAGCCUCCUGAGUAGCUGGAACUACAGCUGUGUGCACCACACCCAGCUAAUUGUUCAACAUUUUUGUAGAGACAGGGUCUUGCUAUGUUGCCCAGGCUGGUUUCUAACUCCGGGGCUCAAGUGGUCCUCCUGCUUCAGCCUCCCAAAGUGCUGGGUUACAAGUGUGAGCCACUGUGCUGGGCCAGAAUUUAUUUAUUUAUUAUUUUUAAAGAACCUUCAUUUCCUCUGGCAAUCUGCUUGGGGACAUGCACAUGAAUCUCAUGGGAGAACAAGAAAACGUUUCCUUUUUGUGUUCUCCACUUUCCCUUCCCUUUCCAGAAUCUAGGCCCUGGUGAUUCCCUUCAGGAGGCAGGAAAGCGAUUCCUUGAAGAACAACAGCCGUCACCUUCCUUCCCAGUUGAGCCAGAAAGGCCCCACAGCUCUGCCACAGAUGCUACAGAAAAUGUUUCUGGCCUCAACUCCCCAGGGAGGGAGUAAGCCUUGGGGUUAGUUCAGUUGCACAGUUCCACGUCUGUUAGCAGCCACUGGUUCUCUUACUCCAGCUAUGUUUAGCUUUGUUUGACUAUCUUCCAUGGGAACACAACUGCAUUAGUGUUCCUUUUCUCAGUUCUCCAUUUCAAAAAUUUUUAUUUAUUUAUUUAAUUUCUGAGAGGGGGUCUUGCUCUGUCACCUAGGAUGGAGUGCAGUGGCACAAACACAGCCUCACUGCAGACUCGACCUCCAAGUUCAGCCUCCUGAGUAGUUGGGAUCACAGGCAUGCACCACCAUGCCUGGCUAAUUUUUUUAUUAGUAGUAGAGACAGGGUCUCCCUAUGUUGCCCAGGCUGGCCUUGAACUCCUGAGUUCAAGCAAUCCGCCCGCCUCAGCCUCCCAAAGUGCUUGGAUUAUAGGCGUGAGCCACCGUGCCCCGGUAUCGGUUCUCCAUUUAUAACAACUUGUCACCAAGAACCCGAGACCCAAGCUUGGGUCAAUGGUUGUCCAGCUAGGAUGAGAAUAAUGUGCUGGCUAUCUGGGUACUGUGGACAGCCUGGAAGCCCCAUGUGGCAGCCAACUUACUCAUUUUGCACACUGCACCCAGAGAAGGGUGGCACUGAGUGGAAAGUGAGGCCAAGGUCAUCACAAACAGCAUCAGGCUCUACAAAGAGUGACAGCAACCUGAAGCACAGAGACAGGUCUAACAUGGAUGCAGGAUGUAAGUGACGUUGGACCUAGUCUUAGGUCACAUCUGCAUACAAAAAUCCUCACUACAGGAACUGUCAUUAUUUAAACACAUGAGCAAGGACACAGAUUUUUGAAAUAAGCACUUAUUCUUUUGAAGGGUCUAAAAGGUAGAAUGUAGAGAUGGAAGACAGUAGACCUGAAAUUCCUUCCUGACCACGGCCUUGUACAAAUCUUCUGCCCUGUCUGUCCAGAUGUUUCCUCAUUUUUGACCAGAUGCUAAAGCCUCCAAAUCAGUCAUUCUGAGAUCCAUGCCAAUUCUUAGCCAUGAUUCUAAAAAUAGCCAGAAUAGAAAUAAUAUACAAUCCUCAUAUUUAUGCUUACUUCUUUAAUACAAAAACAGUGUAAUAACAGCAUGAAGGAAAUAAUUUAAUGAUUUUAAUUUUUCAGCCUAAAAUUAUUUUAAACUAAUGGUUUCACCUUGUUCCACUUGAGUAAUCAAAUUCAUAUUUUCCCCCUUGCCAUCUCUCCCCCACCUGCAUCCUGUGAAUCAACAGAAGUUAAAACCCUAACACCAGUGGGAAACAGAAACUAGCCAAGAGCAUGUAAAACAGAAACAAGACAGGCGUGGUGGUGCUGAGGUGGGAAGAUCACUUGAGCCCAGGAGUUCAGGCUGCAGUGAAUAAUGGUUGCACCAUUGCACUCUAGCUUGGGGGACAGCGUGAGACCCUGUCUCUAUAUUAAAUUUUAAAAUAUAAUAAAAGAGAAAGAAAAUGCCUAAUUACAGUUCUUGGUGAAUAAAUGAUGUAAAUGCCCAUAUUUUACUACCUGCUCACGUAUAGCGUUAGUAUUGUAAUCAGAUAGUUUAUGUACCAAACUUGUAAGUUAUGCCAGUUGGGACCAUUUAUCUAACAGGAAGCAGGCCCAGGCAGGUUCCUUUGCAACAAAGGAUGGUUCAAUGUUGCAUACAGUUGAGUUGCCAUGAGAGACAAUUAUGGCCAUCCCCAAAUAAGGAAAACUUGAUUGCACUUAGAUAAAAAUUGCGAUUUUUCAAAUUUUGAGGUCAAAACCUGUAUACUCUACAACUAGAGGUAAGCUUAAGCUAAUUAUGUUCUAUUUGAGUCUUCCCUUCUGCUGACUAAAUCACCAUUUAAAAUAUUUGUAAACCUUGGUUGUAAAGUUGGACACCUAAGAAUUCAAAAUAGCAAUUGUCCCACAAAGCCCCAUCCCUUCCAGUAUUGUGUUCUUUUAGGAAAGUAUUCAAUUAUCUCUCAGCUGAUCCUAAGAUUCCUUCUAUAUCUUGUCCCUUUCAUUUGUUUAGAUAUUUACUAUACACUUUGAGGCUGGGUGCAGCGGCUCAUGCCUGUCAUCCCAGCACUUUGGGAGGCCGAGGUGGGUGGAUCACCGAAGGUCAGGAGUUUGAGACCAGCCUGGCCAACAUGGUGAAACCACGUCUCUACUAAAAAUAUAAAAAUUAGCUGGGUGCGGUGGCGCAUGCCUGUAAUCCCAGCUACUCGGGAGGCUGACACAGGAGAAUCGCUUGAACCUGGGAGGCAGAGGUUGCAGUGAGCAGAGAUUGCACCACUGCACUCCACCCUGGGCGACAGAGUGAGACUCCUUCUCAAAAAUAAAUAAAUAAAUAAAAGGCUGGGCAUGGUGGCUCACACCUGUAAUCCCAGCACUUUGGGAGGCCGAGGCGGAUGGAUCAUGAGGUCAGGAGUUCAAGACUAGCCUGGCCAAGAUGGUGAAACUCCGUCUCUACUAAAAGUAAAAAAAAAAUUAGCUGGGUGCGGUGGCAGGUGCCUGUGAUCCCAGGUACUCAGGAGGCUGAGGCAGGAGAAUCGCUUGAACUCAAAGGGCGGAGGUUGCAGUGAGCCAAGAUCGCGCCACUGCACUCCAGCCUGGGUGACAGAGUGAGACUCCAUUUCAAUAAAUAAAUUAAAAAGAAAAAAAAACAUACAAAAAGAUACUUACUGUACACUUCAGAAAACAGUAUUUUCUAACAUCGGUUUAGCAUUUAUUUCCCUUUAAUUUCUAUUUAUAUUAUUUUCUAAAUGUUCACUCAGGUGUAAAAAAAUAACUUCAACAAUUAAUAGUUUGACAUGAUGUCAGCUAUUUAAGAUACUCAACAUCAUCCUCUGCUUUUCACCACCUUCUUGCAUUUGGGGGUGAAGAGUUAAACUACUUUUUUUUAAUGCUGGAACUCUUUUUGAAUCAUUAUUAAAAUAAGACUGGGGGAAGAGAGGUUAUAUAAAGGAAAUAAAGAGUCUAUAAUGGAAUUUAGGCUUUUGCUGUUACAGCUGAGAAGAACUAGAGCUUCCAAGGAAAGCCUGACCUAAGAAUAAGGCCAAAUCUUUUGCUUCGUAUCAACACAACGCUACCAAAAUCUGGAGUUAUUUUCUGACUUUAUUCUGAAAGCUAACUUUUAGCUUGGCUGGACUGUUUUUUUCUUUUCUUCUCUCAUCUUUCUCUCUCUCUCAUCUCUCUCUCUCUCUCUCUCUCUCUCCUUUUCUUUCUUUUUUAGAGAUGGGCUCUUGCUGUUGUUGCCUGAAGCCCCAAACUCCUGGGCUCAAGGCAUCCUCCUUCCUCAGCCUCCUGAGCAGCUUGGACUUGAGGCCUGUGCUACCACACCUGGCUAACGGGCAGGAAUCUUUCUAAACAGACUGAAUUUAGAGUGCUUAUUGCUCAAGCAGGGAUAAUUUCUACAAGGUCCAGUUCAGGCUGAGAUUUUUAUUUUGUCCCUAAUUUCCUGAAAUCAAAACAAGUGGUUUUAAUCUAGGAUCGCACAGGUAGAAAACCUAGUGGGGUCUCUGGGAACUUUAUACCUGUUUUCUCCUUCCCUGGUCCUUUCUCCAUGCUUUUAUUGUUACCAGGGAGAUGUCCUGGUUUAAUGUAAGUGUCCCUUACAAAACUUUCUAAGAACUUACUCCCAGAAAAUACAAAAAAUGAUGAUAGCCAAUUAGGCAAGAGAGGGGGUAAUUUAGUCUUAUACUUUCUCAGAGGGAAUACAAAUUAAUACAGCCUUCCUGGAGAGGAAUUUGGCAAUGUUUAUCAAAGUUAAAAACUGUGUACUAGGCCGGGUGCAGUGGCUCACGCCUGUAAUCCCAGCACUUUGGGAGGCUGAGGCGGGUCAAUCACUGGAGGUCAGGAGUUCGAGACCAGCCUGGCCAACAUAGUGAAACCCUGUCUCUACUAAAAAUACAAAAAAAAAUUAGCCGGACGUGGUGGCAGGUGCCUGUAGUCCCAGCUACUCAGGAGGCUGAGACAGGAGAAUCACUUGAACCCGGGAGGCGGAGGUUGCAGUGAGCUGAGAUUGCGCCACUGCAUUCCAGCAUGGGUGACAGAGUGAAACUCUGUCUCUAAAUAAAUAAAUAAAACUGUGUACUCCACUUCUGGGAAUUUAUUCAAGGAAAGUCAACUCUUUUCCUAGUUCUAGCCUUCUUUCUGUACAUUAGAUUGAUGGGUCAUUAACUGUUCUUAGUAUGUUUCUGUAUUUUCAUAAUAGACUAUAAUAAACAUAUAUACCUUUGAUAAUAAAAAAUUAAAAAUCAUCAGUAAAUAUAAAAUAUACCCUGUUAGAAACAACUUGCAUUCAGAAGUGCUUAGUGUUAAAUGUGGGGACCACCUGCAACAACCAGUUUUUGGUUUUCUUUUUAAUUCUUGAAAACUCAGUAUACAUUAACUGUAGUUCUUCCAAUGACCUAGGGUUUGGGAAUACAAUUUUAAAAGCCCAUGGCCACUCUUGUAGCUAUUACUUUCAUGGGAUGACCUAAACAGAGUUUCAGACUAUGACAAUGAUUUCCUCUCCUUGUGGCCCAUGUGCUGUUCCUUCACACUUCCACAGACUUCCAUGGGAUAUAUGAGUCAAUACUAAGGUGAUAGCUCUAGUUAUUCCUUCCAAGGACAUCUGGAAUCCGAUUAUCUGAUGAGAUAUUCUAUUGCUCCAUUUUACAGCAGGAGACCUUAUCAAAAUUCUCCUAGAUUACAUGACAGCAGCCCUGGGAACAGAAGGCAAGUUUAAAAUAGUUUUUUUUUUUUCCAAACCACAUUCCUUUCUUGAAUCUAUUUACAGUACUGUUUCAAGAUGUUUUCUGAAGGGUGCACAGGGGCUACAUUGAAAACCUUCUGGUUAUUGUUUGCUAACUGCUGGGAUGGUUUUAAUCAGAGAAGAAGCCAAUAAUUUCAGCUUGGGUGUUAGAAAAGCUCCUGAAAUGUCUCCAAACUGAUUUAGGAGAAACUGCUUAACAGAAGAGGACUUAUUCCUGUCCUGAAACAAACUCCUUAGCAUGGACAUAUGCUGUAAUCACAGACCAAGAUAACCACAUUUUUUGAACAUAUUAUACUCCAAAGGCAUCUUAGAUUUCUAAAUAUUAUCAGUAUCAGAUGACAAAACCUGUUCAACAAGGACCAUAGCCUCAAUAUGCUAGUUGACAGCCUCCGCCGUUAGAAUGUUCUUGGUGUUUGGUAAGUUCUCUAAUAGGACCUACUUUUUAUUACACUAGUUUUUCUUAAAGAAAUUUUUUGAAAGGGGUUUUAUUUUAAUGACUCAGGUAAAAUUUUCUGAGGUAAAAGACCUCACAUCAGUCUCAGCAGACAUCUGCCCCUUCCCAUGAUCCUGACUUGAGGCAAGUGAAGGGAGUCCCUUUGUUGUGAGGCCAAUUUAGUUCUAGGUUCCAGAAAAGCCUGAGUCUCUCAGUAGUUCAGAUCAAACCAGAUGCCCCAGAUUUAAGCAGAACUAAUCCAAAUGCCCAAAUCAGUUUCAGAAAGAGCUCAGGUUUUAACUAGGGUCAGGUACAUCUUUUCUAGGUUAGGUAGGUGCUCCUAUGCCUCAGCUAAGUACAUAGCACUUUGGUCAGCCCUAUAUUUGCAUGAUAAAAGCUUUUUUUUCUACUUUAAAAAUAAUUCCUACAUGAUUUAUCAUGUAUAAAUUCUUAAAACCCCACCCAGGACAAACCACUAUAUCAAGGAUUUCCAUUGCUGAUCUCUCUCACCCUAAUCCUAUUGAAUCCAAGUCUCUGGGGAUAGAGCCCUGGAAGCCUACUUUUUUUUUUUUUUUUUUUUUUUAAAUGUAAAUGCUUUUCUCACGCCUGUAAUCCCAGCACUUUGGGCUUUGGGAAGCCAGGGUGGGAGGAUCACUUGAGCCCAGGAUUUCCAGACCAGCCUGGGCAACAUGGUGAAACCCCAUCUCUACAAAAAAUACAAAAAUUACCUGAGUGUGGUGGCAUGCACCUGUAGUCCCAGCUACUUGAGAGGCUGAGGUGGGAGGCUCGCUUGAGUCCAGGAGCUUGAGGCUGCAGUGAGCCAUGACUGCACCACUGCACUCCAGCCUGGGCAACAGAGCAACACUCCGAAUUUAAUAAUAACAACAAAAAAGUGAAUGCUUUUACAAGUACCCCUUAU
rnacentral:lncRNA from 10 species